CAAAAAGGGUGCACUCGUCUGCACUGAACAUCUCAAGACAUUUGAACCCUGAACUGGGCGUCACAGAAUCUCUGCCCGAUUCAAGUUCACAGUAAAUAAAACAAAAAGUAGCCUUGUUUGAGUCAGAACGGCCCAUAGGGCAGGAGACAAUAUUCAAAUCAAAUCAAAUGUAUUUAUAAAGCCCUUCGUACAUCAGCUGAUAUCUCAAAGUGCUGUACAGAAACCCAGCCUAAAACCCCAAACAGCAAGCAAUGCAGGUGUAGAAGCACAAUAUUCUGUAAAGCAUCCACAUACCUAGGUUCAGUUUGCUCCUAACAGAACUGGGCUAGGUUCAGUUUGCUCCUAACAGAACUGGGCUAGGUUCAGUUUGCUCCUAACAGAACUGGGCUAGGUUCAGUUUGCUCCUAACAGAACUGGGCUAGGUUCAGUUUGCUCCUAACAGAACUGGGCUAGGUUCAGUUUGCUCCUAACAGAACUGGGCUAGGUUCAGUUUGCUCCUAACAGAACUGGGCUAGGUUCAGUUUGCUCCUAACAGACCUGGGCUAGGUUCAGUUUGCUCCUAACAGACCUGGGCUAGGUUCAGUUUGCUCCUAACAGACCUGGGCUAGGUUCAGUUUGCUCCUAACAGACCUGGGCUAGGUUCAGUUUGCUCCUAACAGACCUGGGCUAGGUUCAGUUUGCUCCUAACAGACCUGGGCUAGGUUCAGUUUGCUCCUAACAGACCUGGGCUAGGUUCAGUUUGCUCCUAACAGACCUGGGCUAGGUUCAGUUUGCUCCUAACAGACCUGGGCUAGGUUCAGUUUGCUCCUAACAGACCUGGGCUAGGUUCAGUUUGCUCCUAACAGACCUGGGCUAGGUUCAGUUUGCUCCUAACAGACCUGGGCUAGGUUCAGUUUGCUCCUAACAGACCUGGGCUAGGUUCAGUUUGCUCCUAACAGACCUGGGCUAGGUUCAGUUUGCUCCUAACAGACCUGGGCUAGGUUCAGUUUGCUCCUAACAGACCUGGGCUAGGUUCAGUUUGCUCCUAACAGACCUGGGCUAGGUUCAGUUUGCUCCUAACAGACCUGGGCUAGGUUCAGUUUGCUCCUAACAGACCUGGGCUAGGUUCAGUUUGCUCCUAACAGAACUGGGCUAGGUUCAGUUUGCUCCUAACAGACCUGGGCUAGGUUCAGUUUGCUCCUAACAGACCUGGGCUAGGUUCAGUUUGCUCCUAACAGACCUGGGCUAGGUUCAGUUUGCUCCUAACAGACCUGGGCUAGGUUCAGUUUGCUCCUAACAGACCUGGGCUAGGUUCAGUUUGCUCCUAACAGACCUGGGCUAGGUUCAGUUUGCUCCUAACAGAACUGGGCUAGGUUCAGUUUGCUCCUAACAGAACUGGGCUAGGUUCAGUUUGCUCCUAACAGAACUGGGCUAGGUUCAGUUUGCUCCUAACAGAACUGGGCUAGGUUCAGUUUGCUCCUAACAGAACUGGGCUAGGUUCAGUUUGCUCCUAACAGAACUGGGCUAGGUUCAGUUUGCUCCUAACAGAACUGGGCUAGGUUCAGUUUGCUCCUAACAGAACUGGGCUAGGUUCAGUUUGCUCCUAACAGAACUGGGCUAGGUUCAGUUUGCUC